GAUGAACGCUGGCGGCGUGCCUAAUACAUGCAAGUCGAGCGAACGGGCCCUACGUUUGCGUCUUUCAUGUUUGCGGCGCGCGGGAGAGUAACAUGUGUAUCAUCUACCUAUAAUAGUGGUAUAUUCUCGAGAAACGGGCGCUAACCCCGGAUGAUAUCUUGAUCCGCGUGGGUCGUUAGUGAAAUACGGUCUUGCUGUCACUUAUCGCUGCUUCCGCGCUGCAUGAGCUAGUUGGUAAGGUAACGGCUUACGAAGGCAACGAUGCGUAGCCGAACUGAGAGGGUGAUAGCCGACACUGGAACUGAACCACGGUCCAGACUCCUACGGGAGGCAGCAGUAGGGAAUCUUCCGCAAUGGGCGAAAGCCUGACGGAGUAACGCCGCGUGAGUGAUGAAGGUCUUCGGAUCGUAAAACUCUGUUAUUAGGGAAGAACAUAUGUGUAAGUAACUGUGCACAUCUUGACGGUACCUAAUCAGAAAGCAACGGCUAACUACGUG
rnacentral:rRNA from 1 species